GUGCGCGUGACUGGCGGAAGUCACGACAGACGCCCUUAUAAAAGCCACGAACGCUGUUCGAUAUUAAUUCUUCAGCAUCGACGUCUGCAGGCUCUGAAGACAAUCAUCAUGAAGACGGCCAUCAUUAUUCUGUUCGUUCUGGUCGCUUGUUGCGCCGUUUCCGAGGUGGAAGCGUUGCAUCAUCGAGCCUUGCAGCGUUCAAUCAGGGCUGCUGCCCAAGGCUUCGCUCCAUCGUCGCUGGGGGCCUCUGGCAGUGAGCGGUUCCUUAGGGCCACCUGCUUGGGCGUAGGGAUGUUCAUGUCUGCACCCUACACGUGCUGACGGCACCUGGAUAGCGCUCUUCAAAGGGUCACCGAUACCAGUGGUUCUUGUACACUUUUACUGUGAAAUAAACACAUUGCACGAGA